GAUGAACGCUGGCGGCGUGCUUAACACAUGCAAGUCGAACGGAAAGGCUCCUGCUUGCAGGGGUACUCGAGUGGCGAACGGGUGAGUAACACGUGGGUGAUCUGCCCUGCACUUCGGGAUAAGCCUGGGAAACUGGGUCUAAUACCGGAUAGGACGAUGGUUUGGAUGCCAUUGUGGAAAGUUUUUCGGUGUGGGAUGAGCUCGCGGCCUAUCAGCUUGUUGGUGGGGUAAUGGCCUACCAAGGCGUCGACGGGUAGCCGGCCUGAGAGGGUGUACGGCCAAAUGGGGACGGAGAUGCGGCCGAGACUCCAAGGGGAGGCGGGGGGGGGGAAUAUAGCACAGGGGGCGCAGGCCUAGGGCGGCGACGCCGGGGGGGGGAUGCCGGCCUGGGGUUUGUAACCUCCUUCCGCGGGGAACGAGGCGAAAGUGAGGGUACCGGGAGAAGAAGCCCCGGCUAACUACGGG
rnacentral:rRNA from 1 species